GGGAUAUAGCUCAGUUGGUAGAGUGCUUGCCGGGCAUGCACAAGGCCCUGGGUUCAAUCCCCAGUACCACCA
rnacentral:tRNA from 1 species